GACCGACCGUCCAAACGUUAUUCGGUAUCACUGGGCUUAAAGGGUGCGUAGGCGGUCCCGUAAGUCGGGUGUGAAAUCCCUCGGCUCAACCGAGGAAGUGCGCCCGAAACUGCGGGGCUAGAGGGAGGUAGAGGCGAGUGGAACUUGCGGUGGAGCGGUGAAAUGCGUUGAUAUCGCAAGGAACACCGGUGGCGAAGGCGGCUCGCUGGGCCUUCCCUGACGUUGAGGCACGUAAGCUAGGGGAGCGAACGGG
rnacentral:rRNA from 1 species